GAUUUGGGGUCUCCUUUCUUGUUUUUUUAACGCCAUGAUACUCCAGUUUUUCUCCAGUUUAGCACAGAGACUCUUCUCCUACAGAGCCAAGCUGUUGUUAUGUGUGCACACUGUUGUCUCGCUGAAAUAUGAAAGUCUUCUUCUAAAAGAUGUUCUCUGGAUGUCCACAGAUGUUGCUAAAAAAUAAAAACAGUAUUUUCUGUUCAGUAUGAAUGGAUAACGGGUUCAUGUGCAUCCACAAACCAUCAUGGAUACAGAGUCUGUGGGCCUCUGUCUGGCUUAAAUAAGCUUCCUAAUGUGUCAAAAAGCUUAUUUUCACAGGAAAAAUUUUAUUUAUAACACACUUUACAUUUAAAAUAAUCUCAAAAUGCAUAGAUAAUGUAUCUGAUGCAUUUAGUGGUUUCUCAUUUGUUUUGUUACGUUUAUAUUUUUCACCCUGACCGCCCUAAACAGACAAAAACACCCUCCUGUCACCUACACAUGUGUGUGUUUUGUUAUUACAGGCGCUCAGAAAUGAGGAGGAGUGUGUGUUUGUUUAUGUGUGUCUCUCACUGUGCCUAUUUAAUGCAUUUAUUUACGUUUUAUUUAUUCACACCUUAUCACAUGACUCCGGCGCAGGGAUCCAAUUUCAAUGUCUGUUACCAUGGUUACGCCCUGCCUGGGCUGUAAAUAAAUUCAGGGGGUUUGUAACACUGUUACAUUGAUUAAAAACACACACACACACACAUUCUGCAUCAAAUUUUCUACCACCGGGCGAGUGCAUAGAGAUUCCCUGUUCAUUAUAUCAUUUAUGCAUGUGUGUGUUUUUGUGUGUUUGUGAGAGACACAGUUGUAGUGCUGAAAUUGUUCGUGUGUGUGUGUAUUAUACUGAAGAAUUAUCAUAUCUCACUUCAUUGCAGCUCCCCGUCCUCGUAAGUGGAAACAGAUACAAAUCUCCAUCCCCUCGAGCCCCUGAUUAAGUUAUGCUAAUCAUUGCUGAUCAUUACUGCGGCUAUAACCGCUUUCUUACGCCUUUUUAUCCAACAUUCAGCCUCCAAAAAGGGACAUUAACCCUCCGUCAGGAUGCAAAAUUGGGCGUAGGGGUUCACUGACCACUUAAUUGCUUAAUUAGCCAUAAACAAAUUAGACUCCAGUCCCGUGUGUGUUGUGAGAGGGUGCAGUGCAGUGGUGUAAAUCUUCCCCCCCCCUGUGCCUCAGAAAAAUAUUGUGAGUGGGUUUCAGCGGGCGCCCCUCACCCCUAAAUCUUCUCUCCUCAGUGAAAGAUGAUUAUCGGCUCUUUCUCCGUCAGUCUGAAUCUGUAAUGUGAUGCAGUGUAACAGGACUGGACUGAUUGAAGAGGGACAUCAGGAUUAAUCUCACUGUGUAAUUACUUUUAUGAUUUAUGCCACCCUGUACACACACUCACACACACACUCUCUCACACACACACGGGGGACUCCUGCCUCCACAGUCAAAGCUGAUAAAUGUCUGAACAUGUGCCAGCACUCACUCUCGGUGCGUCAUUGUCCUGACCUUGCUGUUUAUUGUCUUUUUUUAUGACCAUGUAUGGACUUGAUGUAAUGAAACACUGUGAUUUGUCCAGCCUGUCACAUCCGGCGUUAAAACGGCGAGUGAGUGACUGCUUUACAGCCCCCCUCCUGAUAAAUCUCCGAGCAUGCUGGGAGCUGUUGUUCGUGCGAGUGAGGCCGUGCCAGCGUUUGAUCUUCUCUGUGAGAGGUUAACCUGAUUUUGAUUGAGUGUUGAAACCCACCAGUGAGGCUGUUUUGACUGAUAGACACUGAAGGACGACUAAUCAAUAUGUGGUGGUGAUGACGGGGUAAAAAAUCAUGGGAUGCACACCCCUCCCUUUCACUUUCCUUUUUUUUCUAUCCUAGUGUGGAUAAUUUGUUAAAAGAAGCACACAUGAGCUGACAUGAAGGUGGAAGGAGGGUAUAAACAAAAGGAAAGCAGCGAGCUGGAGCAGAAAUAUCGUCUUUUCAUCAGGAGUGUAAUCCUGGAGGGGUUGCUCUCGACUCUUUUGAUGUUUAAGGAAGAAAAAAAUUACUCCGUCGGCCUUAAAUCCGGCGACUGCAAGCAUUUGGAAAGUGAUUCAGUUUGGCAGGAAGAGUGCGAUGAUUUCAGCUGGACUUAGGGCUGGGCGAUAUGAGGAAAAGUUUAUCACUAUAUAUUUUUUUCAUAUCAGUCGAUAUUAGGGAUGUGCAUCUCCAUUACUGUGGUGAUUAGAUACCCAUCUCGAUGCACUGCCGAUGAUACGAUAUAAUUUGUGAUACACUGAAUCCCUGCCGAUACGAUACUCAACGAUUCACCCCUGUUCUCGAUACGAUACGAU
rnacentral:lncRNA from 1 species